CCGGAGCGGAUCCAUAGAGUUUGAUCAUGGCUCAGCGUGAACUCGGAUGCUCGAAACUCCGACCACCGGUCGCCGGGUGAUUAACGCCUAUACAAUCUGCCUUGUACUGAGGGAUAGCCCAGAGAAAUUUGGAUUAAUACCUCAUAGUAUAUGGAUCUCUCAUGAGGCUCAUAUUAAAGGUUACGGUACAAGAUGAGUAUGCGUUCUAUUAGCUAGAUGGUAAGGUAACGGCUUACCAUGGCUACGAUAGAUAGGGGCCCUGAGAGGGGGAUCCCCCACACUGGUACUGAGACACGGACCAGACUCCUACGGGAGGCAGCAGUGAGGAAUAUUGGACAAUGGGCGAGAGCCUGAUCCAGCCAUGCCGCGUGCAAGAUGACGGCCCUAUGGGUUGUAAACUGCUUUUAUACAGGAAGAAACACCCCGACGUGUCGGGACUUGACGGUACUGUAAGAAUAAGGAUCGGCUAACUCCGUGCCAGCAGCCGCGGUAAUACGGAGGAUCCAAGCGUUAUCCGGAAUCAUUGGGUUUAAAGGGUCCGUAGGUGGACAAUUAAGUCAGAGGUGAAAUCCUGCAGCUCAACUGUAGAAUUGCCUUUGAUACUGGUUGUCUUGAGUUAUUAUGAAGUAGUUAGAAUAUGUAGUGUAGCGGUGAAAUGCAUAGAUAUUACAUAGAAUACCAUUGCGAAGGCAGAUUACUAAUAAUGAACUGACACUGAUGGACGAAAGCGUGGGGAGCGAACAAGAUUAGAUACCUGGUAGUCCACGCCCGUAACAAUGGUUACUAAUUGUUCGGAUUUCGGUCUGAGUGACUAAGCGAAAGUGAUAAGUAACCCACCUGGGGAGUACGUUCGCAAGAAUGAAACUCAAAGGAAUUGACGGGGGCCCGCACAAGCGGUGGAGCAUGUGGUUUAAUUCGAUGAUACGCGAGGAACCUUACCAGGGCUUAAAUGUAGAUUGACAGGUUUAGAGAUAGACUUUUCUUCGGACAAUUUACAAGGUGCUGCAUGGUUGUCGUCAGCUCGUGCCGUGAGGUGUCAGGUUAAGUUCUAUAACGAGCGCAACCCCUGUUGUUAGUUGCCAGCGAUUCAAGUCGGGAACUCUAACAAGACUGCCAGUGCAAACUGUGAGGAAGGUGGGGAUGACGUCAAAUCAUCACGGCCCUUACGUCCUGGGCUACACACGUGCUACAAUGGUAGGGACAGAGAGCAGCCACUUUGCGUGAAGGAGAGAAUCUAUAAAGCGUAUACAUCAGUAUGACUGAGUUGACG
rnacentral:rRNA from 1 species